rnacentral:rRNA from 1 species
UACGUAGGGGGCAAGCGUUGUCCGGAUUUAUUGGGCGUAAAGAGCGUGUAGGCGGCCUGGUAGGUCAGCUGUGAAAACUCGAGGCUCAACCUCGAGACGCCGGUUGAAACCAUCAGGCUAGAGUCCGGAAGAGGAGAGUGGAAUUCCCGGUGUAGCGGUGAAAUGCGCAGAUAUCGGGAGGAAUACCGGUGGCGAAGGCGGCAUCCUGGACCGGCAUUGACGCUGAGGAGCGAAAGCUAGGGGAGCAAACGGG